CUAGACACAUCUUCAGAUCGGCUGGAAGGAUCAGUACAUACCAUAUCCACUCAGGGAGAGAGAGGCUGGCAGUUCAUUCAUUUGAAAAGGUUCCACUCACUUCAAAAGGCUACAUUAAUUGAGAAGGUGUGGAUGAUCUGAAAGCACUCUUUCCUUCGUGGGGAAACGCUACGAUUUAAAACGCGAAGUGAACCAGGCAGCUUAUUCCCCUGGAUUCCGGAAUGCGUAAAAGCACCUGAUGGGAAGCACAAUAAAAUAGGCACAAUUCUACGUUGGCUAAAUAACUCUUCUUCUACAUCGUGGAUAAUAUGAACAUGACUAUCAUAACUCCAUUGUUUCUGCUCUGCUUGACAUUGUUGGUCGGCACAACCGAGAGUGUGGCAGAGAUAUGCAGGGGGACGCACUGUUUCAGCUCAGAGGACUGGACCAGACCUUGUACAGGGGCGCAUUGCCAGCGGCGAACGGACGCAGCACCCCAAGACUUAAACCCCGUAAUGCAAGACAGGCAAGCGUUUGUUAAGCCCCUUUACCAGGAUGCCCAUACUAAACAUCAGACCAGAAGUGCACAGGUACCAUACACUAUCAUUCAACCACAUCGUGGUGGCACGGCCACAAGCGACACGCAGAAAGAAAACCCAAGGUCCAUUACCGCGGAGGUGUACCACCCCGGGUGCAAAGGAGGGAAUUGUCAAGCUUCCCAGCCGCGACCAACGAGAACUGAGAGUGUCCCCCGGGAAUGCAAAGGGAUUGAAUGUAAACUGCCACUCAGGAUGCGACCCAAGCCGAAGCCUCAACCGUGCAUUGGCGACAGUUGUGUCACUGGUGGUGGCGAAGACCCGAGAGGGCAGCAGCCCCCCCUGGUUCAUGACAGAGCGGCGCAAUUUCUUGGAGAAUUUCCGGAGUUUGGAUCAGAACGUGGUUCAUCGCCUCUUGGAAUACAGUUGACAUGCGACAUCAAACCAGGCAACAAUGAGGUGCCCUCAGAGGACACCCUGGUGCUGCAGCUGCGUCUGGCCAAGGGCCAGGAGAAGCUGGUGGAGGCACUGAAGGGCCAGCAGGAAGAGAUCAGGGAGCUGCAGAGCAGACUGAGCCAACAGCAGGGGACGCUGGUCAGCCAGCAGAGAGAGAUCCUGGAGGAGCAGAGCAGACUGAGCCAACAGAUGGACCAGGUCAAGGCCCAGUAUGGCCUACUCCUAGAGAAUGUCAAGCAGAUGUCCUUCCAGGGCAUGCAGGAGGAGCUAGAGAGCCACAUGGUGUCCCUCAGAGGCCAGGCCAGGGCCCAUCACACCCAGGCCUAUACUGUGCACAAGGUGGACAUGGAGGCCAGAGUGAUGGAUGUAGACCUCCCCGUGUUGGCCUGCAGGUCCUGUGGAGCGGAGGAGUACUGCGACUUCAGGACAGGUCCGCCGCAAUGUGAGAGGUGCACCAUCUGUCCAGCGGGCUUCUUCCUGGUGUCCCAGUGCUCCAUCCAUGCUGACAGGAUAUGCCAGGACAGAGAUGAAUGCCUUGAAGUAGCAAACCUGUGUUCAGAACAGAAGAAAUGUCUAAACACGCCAGGUGGAUUCAGGUGCCAGGGCUUGUCUGACAGAGAGGCCAGCACAGGCUUGUGUGGACAUGCCUACUUCUAUAACUCGGAGAUGGAGGAGUGUCAGGCCUGUCAGGAGUGUGAGGUGGAGCAAGUGGCCACACCCUGCACCUUCACGAGUGACGCCAUCUGCUCCACCCCCUCCUCCACUGACAGCAGCAGGCUGUCCCUGUCCUGGGCUGGGGUUGUGACCCUGCCUCCUACCAAGAGCCACGCCCCUGGUCACGCCUUCCCCAACCUGCAGCUCCACAUCCAUGGGCGGGGCGACAGCAAUCUGCUGGCCACCGAAGACGGCCAUCUGGUGCUGCGACAGCACGGCCUUGUGUGGGCAGACGAGAACUUGGCCCUGAGCCAUGGAUGCCGCAGUUUCGUCCAGGUGUGUCUGCAGCUUAACACCAGUGACCUGACCGAGGGGCGGGACCUUAGUGGGGUCAGGGUGGAGCAGCGGGAAGUUAAGUCGCUCCAGAGUGCCAGUGUCAGUGGGGUGGCAGAAGUUGCUCCAGGAAGUAUGCUCUCCCUGCUCCUCAGGAGUGCCAGCCACCAUUGCAACCACACAAGCGAUGGCCUGCACCUCCAUGACCCAUCUGUGGCCCCUCUCAGUCUCUUCUGGCUGUCCCACGAUACUGGUGCCGUUGCCAUGACUGCGCAGGCAGUGUCAUCGGCGCACUACCACACCAACUACCGGCCCGCCUUCAAGACCACGUCCACCUCUGACCCGUAUGUUGUGGGGCUGACUCACGAUGGGCGUGGAGUGCGCUUCACCGAAAGUGGCACAGUGCGCUUUGUGUUCCAACAGGCACUCUACUCCAUGGGCCAGGCGUGCGUGACGGAAGGCUUUCACCUGCUGGCCUACCUCAACCACAAUGGUAGCAGCAUGGAGCUGGCUCGAACAUAUAAGACUGGUGUCCACUAUCGCGACACGUCCAUCUCCCUGUCGGCUGCUACCAUGGUCGGCCCCGGCGAUACUCUGGGCUUUGAGAUACUCUCCCCGGGGCAGUGCAACAUUCGCUACUUCGGUGACGACUCCGGCAUCAGCGCCCUCAGUUUGGUGUGGAUCCCCACUACCAUCUCCUCCGCCCUCUCCGCCUCCGUGGCACGCACAGGCUUGCCCUCCGGAGCGGUGCGCAACAAGCCCUUGUAUUUCCGCCAGGUGAGCCCCCACAUGCCGCAGAUGCAGGUCGGGCUUCCAGGGAAGGGUCGCGCUGAACAAGGACGUGAGUUUGUCUUCACGGAGAGCGGGACAGCCAGCUUUGCACUGGACCUGAAGCUGAUCCACUCCUGCAACCCGGUUAAAAUCACCCUGCUCAGACAUAGAGGCGAGGGGGCAGGGGAGGAGGGCAAGCCAGUGCCCCUGGCCCAGCAGUUCGGGGGCCAGAUGCCAGAGGGCAGUGGGUGGGCAAGUGUGGGGCUGCGGGCCUCCUUCCAGGUCCACAAUGGCACGGCAGUUUUUGUCACAUUGGACUGCUUGCGAGGACGCAUCAAUCAGAUCAGUCAUCAGACGGGGAGCGGCGUCUCCAUACUGUGGGUGGCAGCGUAGCCUAGUGGUUAGAGCGUUAGUUCGAAUCCCCGAGCUGACAAGGUACAAAUCUGUCGUUCUGCCCCUGAACAGGCAGUUAAACCCACUGUUCCUAGGCCGUCAUUGAAAAUAAGAAUUUGUUCUUAACUGACUUGCCUAGUAAAAUAAAGGUAAUAAAAAAAAAAAGAAAUAUCACUAGUCUAGAAACACCAAACUAACAAUACCUAAAGCAUGGUUUACCGAAUGUUUUACUUAUUCAAUUAGCCUUUGAUCAACAAAAUUGGCCAAUUUUAGCAUGGUUUACUUCAUGUAUAAAAAGUACCCUUACAUAUACUUACUUAAAAUACACCAAAGGAUGGUUUUGGUGAGUAGCAGAGAGAAUAUUUAAGCUUUAUGGUCUUUUAUGCAUAUUCUAUACUGUAUUUUGAUAUUAUAAGGAUGCUAGAAUUAGCAUUGUUAUUCAACAAUUCUUGGUAUGAACCUUCUUUCAUGUUGACAUUUGCUGGGCGCAUAUCUUGUAUUUACAGUGUAUAAUCGAGUUACUGCAUUGACGCCAGAGCUUUAUAGAAGAUACUUAAAAUUCUUUUUGCUUUCAUCAAGGAUAAUUUUGCAGGGCUGGUUUUACUCUGAAGUGUGUUAAGAACAUAUGUUUUAGGUUAGCCGCCAUUUUCUAAAUGUGAGUGUGUCCGCUGCAUGCCUUAGUUAAUGACCAUUUUCAGGAGACCCAGAAAGGGUUUGUACACUCGUGUGGAGGUCCACUUGUGUUAGACCAGCCACAAAGAAGUGUGCAUUAGCACGGGUUUAGAAUUAUACAGAGUUCUGUAGACAGUGACUUCCUUCAUCCACUAUUUAGACCAGCAAUUAUGCCACCAGCCAAAGUGGCAGUCAGUCUUUAAUGCCGUAAUACACAUGUUGUAAAUAUUUAAACAGAAAACACUGAUUAUGACACCAAACCUCAUUCUUAUUAAGUCACCUGCAUUGCUUGGUGUUUGGGGGUUUUAGGUUGGGUUUCUGUACAGCACUUUGAGAUAUCAGCUGAUGUAAGAAGGGCUUUAUAAAUAAAUUUGAUUUAAACACUCACUGCUUUAAAAACGCACAAGACUGUAGGCUAUAUAUUUUAAUAAUGGUUGGACGUUUGUUAUAUAUUUAAGCAUUAAUGCCCGAGGGGGUGUGGCAUAUGGCCAAUAUACCACAGGGAAGGGCUGUUCUUGGAUAUAAAACUUCAAGGUGCCUUAUUGCUAUUAUAAACUGGUUCCCAACAUAAAUAGAACAGUAAACAAGUAUCUGUGCAUCAUACCCAUGGUAUA
rnacentral:lncRNA from 1 species